rnacentral:rRNA from 1 species
UACAGAGGGGGCAAGCGUUGUUCGGAAUUACUGGGCGUAAAGGGCGCGUAGGCGGCCUGCUAAGUCGAACGUGAAAUCCCCGGGCUCAACCCGGGAACUGCGUCCGAUACUGGCAGGCUUGAAUCCGGGAGAGGGAUGUGGAAUUCCCGGUGUAGCGGUGAAAUGCGCAGAUAUCGAGGAGACACCGUGGCGAAGGCGGUCUCUGGGCUAUUACCUGACGUGAGGAGCG